rnacentral:misc_RNA from 1 species
GGUUUUUGGGUUUGCCAAUUGGAGGGGCUGAAGAUCCAAUACUUGCACUUGAGGAAAGCGCGAGCAGGAACAGAUGAGGAGGGAGAUUGUGUUGCCUUGCAAUUUUCAAUACAAAUUCAGUCAAAACCACACAAUAGGUGUCAUUGGCAAAAAGAGAGCUUGAAAUGGCAGAAAUCAGGCAAAUUCGUCAAAGCAAGUCCUCGGCACCCUGGCUUUUCCAUGAAAGCAACUUACCCAAGUAAGUGAACAUAUCUGCUCUCUCAAGAUAAACACUGACAACCAUUGUUCAAAAUAGAAGACCUGGGAAUGGGAGAUCAAUUGCAGCACAUGCUUGAUCUGGGGCCAUGAUUUGGAGGAUGACCAUAAGCAUAACCCAACCGUCCUCUCAACAGGUAGAAAAAGGAUAGCAGGGAAAACACCAGUAU